rnacentral:rRNA from 1 species
ACCCCACUAUGCCAGGCCGUAAAAUUAACCCACACAAAAACGCCAGGGUACUACGAGCCCCAGCUUAAAACCCAAAGGACUUGACGGUGUCCCACCCCACUAGAGGAGCCUGUCCUAUAAUCGAUGACCCACGUUAUACCCAACCCCUUCUUGCUUUUCAGCCUGUAUACCUCCGUCGCAAGCUUGUCAUGUGAACGCAUAACAACAAGCCUAAGGGCCUACCUGCCAAAACGUCAGGUCAAGGUGCAGCUCAUAAGUGGAAAGUGAUGAGCUACAAUUUCUAUAUUAGAACAAACGGAAUCCUACAUGAAACACAGAUCACAAAGGUGGAUUUAGAAGUA